UACGUAGGGGGCAAGCGUUGUCCGGAAUCAUUGGGCGUAAAGAGCUUGUAGGCGGUCUGUCGCGUCUGCUGUGAAAACUCGGGGCUUAACUCCGGGCCUGCAGUGGGUACGGGCAGACUAGAGUGCGGUAGGGGAGACUGGAAUUCCUGGUGUAGCGGUGAAAUGCGCAGAUAUCAGGAGGAACACCGGUGGCGAAGGCGGGUCUCUGGGCCGUAACUGACGCUGAGGAGCGAAAGCGUGGGGAGCGAACAGG
rnacentral:rRNA from 1 species